rnacentral:rRNA from 1 species
CCUCUAACUGAGGGAUAGCCCAGAGAAAUUUGGAUUAAUACCUCAUAGUAUUAUAAUAAGGCAUCUUUUUAUAAUUAAAACUCCGGUGGUUAGAGAUGAGUAUGCGUCCUAUUAGCUAGUUGGUAAGGUAACGGCUUACCAAGGCUACGAUAGGUAGGGGGCCUGAAAGGGUGAUCCCCCACACUGGUACUGAGACACGGACCAGACUCCUACGGGAGGCAGCAGUGAGGAAUAUUGCACAAUGGAGGAAACUCUGAUGCAGCCAUGCCGCGUGCAGGAUGAAUGCCCUACGGGUUGUAAACUGCUUUUAUACAAGAAGAAACAUCAGUACGUGUACUGACUUGACGGUAUUGUAUGAAUAAGCACCGG